rnacentral:rRNA from 1 species
CAGCAGCCACGGGAAUACGAAGGGGGCUAGCGUUGUUCGGAUUUACUGGGCGUAAAGCGCACGUAGGCGGACUUUUAAGUCAGGGGUGAAAUCCCGGGGCUCAACCCCGGAACUGCCUUUGAUACUGGGAGUCUUGAGUUCGGGAGAGGUGAGUGGAAUUCCCAGUGUAGAGGUGAAAUUCGUAGAUAUUGGGAAGAACACCAGUGGCGAAGGCGGCUCACUGGACCGACACUGACGCUGAGGCGCGAAAGCGUGGGGAGCAAACAGGAUUAGAUACCCCGGUAGUCCCUGUCUCUUAUAC